rnacentral:lncRNA from 1 species
CUUUGUUCUUCAAUUUAGAUCUUUUCUUCAAUCUUCCGCAAUCAACUCUUCAAGACUCCAUUCAACAUUACGAAAUCCGCCAACCUAUAAAAUCCUUAACAACUCCUAAGUGAAGGAUCACCAUAAUCAUAAUGCUUUUCAUGAACGGCGUCGUGGAUUUGGCGUGAACAAAGGCGGUUCGUGAAUUCGGAUCGUUGGCUCAUGGAUUCGAGUGGCGUCGUGGAUUCGGCGUGAUUGAAGCUUCGUGGAUUCGAAGUGGAGGCGUUUGUGGAUUCGAACGUGAGGGCGUGGACAACCCGGAGGGUAGCGCGAAGAUUCAUAGGAGGUUAAGAGAGGUUGAGUCCGUGGAGUCGGUAAUCACCUUGUAAUCUUUUCUCUUAGUAAAUUAUUUUUUCGCGUGUUGGUCCC